CUAAAAAAAAAUAUUGUCCCUGAUUUUCAUUCCGUACAAAAGCGAUUGUGAAUUGAAGGGUGCCAUCGCCGAUCAGACGAGUCUCAUGGACGACAUGUCAGCGUACUACUCGCACUAUAACAUCCCUCCUCCGGCGCCAGCGCCUCCGGGAGUGGCUCCGCCGCUUGUAGUGGCUCCGGUUCCAUUUGUUCCGAUUCAUCCUACCUACUCACAUCCUCACGCCUCUGGCGACGAGGUUCGUACUCUCUUCGUCGCCGGCCUGCCCGAAGACGUCAAGCCCCGGGAGAUCUACAAUCUCUUCCGCGAUUUCCCUGGCUACGAGUCCUCCCAUCUCCGCAGCUCCGAUAAGGAUUCCAAGCCCUUCGCGUUUGCGGUUUUCUCCGAUCUCCAAUCCGCUGUUGCGGCGAUGCACGCCCUAAAUGGAAUGGUUUUUGACCUUGAAAAGCAUUCAAUACUUCACAUUGAUCUUGCCAAAUCAAAUCCCAGAUCUAAACGCACAAGAACAGAUGAUGGCUGGGAAAACUUGAAGAAGACCAAGUCUUUGAGUGCGGCUACAGAUUUUGGUUUGGGCAGCACUAGCAUUCACAGUCCUGGAAUGAGUAGUUCCGCUUACGACACAAUUGGUUAUCCACCUGCACCAAGUCAUGGGAUUGUGGAUACCCCUGGCGGUGCAAUGGCAACUGGAAAAUCUAAUAAUUCGGCAGCUCCUUGUCCAACACUUUUUGUAGCUAAUCUAGGACCAAGUUGCACGGAAUCUGAGCUAGUUCAAGUGUUUUCAAGAUGUCGUGGAUUUUUGAAGCUGAAGAUGCAGGACACGUAUGGGACUCCUGUUGCAUUCGUCGAUUUCCAGGAUGUCAGUUAUUCAGCGGAGGCACUACAUAAUCUUCAAGGCACAGUUCUCUACUCAUCUCCCACUGGAGAGGGCUUGCGCUUGCACAAUCACAGAUAUGCAAGAUCGCGGAUGGGAAUGCGUAAGAAGGUCAAGUAAUCCCGAAAUGAUAGAGCCCUUAUUAUAGUUGCAGAUCAUCCAAAUCCAACAUGUCUGCCGUGUUCGUUUGCUGCAACCAUUACAAACCAAGGAGCAUUAAUCGGACUAUAUAUCGAGAAAAUGAUGCUUUCCGAUCAGAACACACGAGAAACAGUUGAAGGAUCGAUCCGACGAUUAGGAACACGAUAUGAUCUGAUUUUACGACCCGAUGUUAUGUUCGGUACCCAAAAUUACGGUCUCGAACCAUUGUGUUUUGAGGCUGGAGACUCUUGUAACUUACCCUUUCAGCGAUGCUUCGAGGAUGUGUGGCGCAACCUCGUUUGGC